rnacentral:lncRNA from 1 species
GUAACCAAUAGGCAGGAGACCUUACUCUAGGACGGGAAGAAACAACAUUAGCCAGCGGUAGUUUUAUUAUCCUUGCAAAGUCAUUUUGAUAUAUCUUAUGUAUAAGAUUUGUUGACCGCCGAAAACCUCGAGGUUAAUUUAUAACAAAUUUUGUAAGAUGCUUUUGAAUGAUAUAUAAAGAGUGUUUUUAAAGUACGGGUUCCAUAUGAUAUUAGUCCUUGUCC